rnacentral:lncRNA from 1 species
UCGGGGUGUAUGUUGAUGGCAGGUUGAUGGGUGUCGGACUUGUGGGUGGAGAGUCGGGGUGUAUGUUGAUGGCAGGUUGAUGGGUGUCGGACUUGUGGGUGGAGAGUCGGGGUGUAUGUUGAUGGCAGGUUGAUGGGUGUCGGACUUGUGGGUGGAGAGUCGGGGUGUAUGUUGAUGGCAGGUUGAUGGGUGUCUGACUUGUGGGUGGAGAGUCGGGGUGUAUGUUGAUGGCAGAUUGAUAGGUGUCUGACUUGUGGGUGGAGAGUCGGGGUGUAUGUUGAUGACAGGUUGAUGGGUGUCGGACUUGUGGGUGGAGAGAUGUGUUUUGAUGGGUGGGUGGAUAAGGAGGAUGUUUCGUAGAACGAGUGAUUGUGCAGUGGGCGUUCUCUGGGGCGGAUAAUUGUUAGGUGCAGAACACAAUGGGCACUUAAUGAUUUCCUACCGUUGAACUCCGUAUCCUUGUUAAAUAUAACCUAGUCAUUAAAUAUAUCACCAUUGACUAUAUCCUUGAUCCGUGUCUCGUCUGUACUGACACUAAGGCACGAGUCAUCAAAUGCUUGUGAUACUCACUGGUGAGUCAGUGUUGCUGGAAGUCCUGAUAUAGACUUUAAGUUGUAACUGUCUCUCAUACCCUCGUCCUCGCCCACAUCCCGACAAGUAUCUUUCUGGUAUUCCUGCACGAGUUUUGGGACGUGAGGUGUAUCUCACGUUGCGGUGCUCACUUGUACGUGCAACAGACGUAUCCCGCUCAGCAGCUGAUGACACCAAUAGAUAACGUGUCCGCUAGGACCUGUCUUUGAGAGUCCAUCGCUGCAGCUGUAAUAGGCAGGUAAAUAACGUGUCCAUGAGGACCUGUCUUUGAGAGAUCGUCGACACCUCAGCUGUAAUAGACGGGCAUACAACAUGUCCAUUAGGACCUGUCUUUGAGAGAUCUUCACAACAGGUGUAAUAGGCAGGUAUAUAACGUGUCAGCUAGGGCCUGUCUUUGUGAGAUCAUCGCUGCACGUGAAAUAGGCAGGUAUAUAACGUGUCCAUAAGGACCUGUCUUUAAGAGAUCGUCACUGCAGCUGUAAUAGGCAGGUGUAUAAUGUGUCCAUAAGGACCUGUCUUUAAAAGAUCGUCACAACAGGUGUAAUAGGCAGGUAUAUAACGUGUCCAUUAGGACCUGUCUUUGUGAGAUCAUCGCUGCACGUGUAAUAGGCAGGUAUAUUACGUGUGGAUUAGGACCUGUCUUGGAGAGAUCGUCGACACCUCGGUUUUACUAGACAGGUAUAAAACGUGUCAGCUAGGACCUGUCUGUUAGAGAUCGUCACUGCAGGUGUAAUAGACAGGUAUAUAAUAUGUCUAUUAGGACCAGUCUUUGAGAGAUCGUCACUGCAGCUGUAAUAGACAGGUAUAUAACGUGUCCAUAAGGACCUGUCUUUGAGAGAUCGUCACUGCAGCUGUAAUAGGCAGGUAUACAACGUGUCCAUGAGGACUUGUCUUUGAGGGAUCGUCACUGCAGCUGUAAUAGGCAGGUAUACAACGUGUCCAUGAGGACUUGUCUUUGAGGGAUCGUCACAACAGGUGUAAUAGGCAGGUAUAUAACGUGUCCAUUAGGACCUGUCUUUGAGAGAUCAUCGCUGCACGUGUAGUAGGCAGGUAUAUAACGUGUCCAUAAGGACCUGUCUUUAAGAGAUCGUCACUGCAGCUGUAACAGGCAGGUGCAUAACGUGUCCAUAAGGACCUGUCUUUAAAAGAUCGUCACAACAGGUGUAAUAGGCAGGUAUAUAACGUGUCCAUUAGGACCUGUCUUUGUGAGAUCAUCGCUGCACGUGUAAUAGGCAGGUAUAUAAUGUGUCCAUAAGGACCUGUCUUUAAAAGAUCGUCACAACAGGUGUAAUAGGCAGGUAUAUAACGUGUCCAUUAGGACCUGUCUUUGAGAGAUCGUCACAACAGGUGUAAUAGGCAGGUAUAUAACGUGUCCAUUAGGACCUGUCUUUGUGAGAUCAUCGCUACACGUGUAAUAGGCAGGUAUAUAACGUGUCCAUAAGGACCUGUCUUUAAAAGAUCGUAACAACAGGUGUAAUAGGCAGGUGUAUAACGUGUCCAUUAGGACCUGUCUUUGUGAGAUCAUCGCUGCACGUGUAAUAGGCAGGUAUAUAACGUGUCCAUUAGGACCUGUCUUUGUGAGAUCAUCGCUGCACGUGUAAUAGGCAGGUAUAUAACGUGUCCAUUAGGACCUGUCUUUGAGGGAUCGUCACUGCAACUGUAAUAGACAGGUAUAUAACGUGUCCGUGAGGACCUGUCUUGGAGAGAUCGUCACAAUAGGUGUAAUAGCCAGGUAUAUAACGUGUCCAUUAGGACCUGUCUUUGUGAGAUCAUCGCUGCACGUGUAAUAGGCAAGUAUAUAACGUGUCCAUAAGGACCUGUCUUUGAGAGAUCGUCACUGCAGCUGUAAUAGGCAGGUAUACAACGUGUCCAUGAGGACUUGUCUGCGAGAGAUCUUCACUGCAGGUGUAAUAAACAGGUAUAUAAUAUGUCUAUUAGGACCUGUCUUUGAGAGAUCGUCACUGCAGCUGUAACAGACAGGUAUAUAAUAUGUCCAUUAGGACCUGUCUUUGAGAAAUCGUCACUGCAGGUGGAAAAGACAGGUAUAUAACGUGUCGACAAGGACCUGUUUUUGAGAGAUCAUCACUGCAUUUGUAAUAGACGGGUAUAUAACGUGUCUAUUAGGACCUGUCUUUGAGAGAUCGUCACUGCAUCUGUAAUAGACAGGUAUAUAACGUGUCAGCUAGCACCUGUCUUUGAGAGAUGGUCACUGCACGUGUAAUAGACAGGUAUAUAAUGUGUCAGCAUGGACCUGUCUUUGAGAGAUCGUCGACACCUCAGCUGUAAUAGACGGGCAUAUAACGUGUCAGCAAGGACCUGUCUUUGAGAGAUCGUAACUGCAGCUGUACUGCACAGGUAUGUAACGUGUCCAUUAGCACCUGUCUUUGAGAGAUCGUCACUGCAACUGUAAUAGGCAGGUAUAUAACGUGUCCAUGGGGAACUGUCUUUGAGAGAUCAUCGCUACAGGUGUAAUAGACAGGUAUGUAACGUGUCAGCAUGGGCCUGUCUUGGAGAGAUCGUCACUGCAGGUGUAAUAGGCAGGUAUGUAACGUGUCAGCAAGGAACUGUCUUUGAGAGAUCAUCGCAGCAGGUGUAAUACACAGGUAUAUAACGUGUCCAUAAGGACCUGUCUUUGGGAGAUCGUCACUGCAGCUGCAAUAGGCAGGUAUUUAACGUGUCCAUGAGGACCUGUCUUUGAGAGAUCACCGCUACAGGUGUAAUAGACAGGUAUAUAACGUGCAGCUAGGACCUGUCUUUGUGAGAUCGUCACUGCAGGUGUAACAGACAGGUAUGUAACGUGUCCACAAGGAACUGUCUUUGAGAGAUCGUCGCAGCAGGUGAAAUACACAGGUAUAUAACGUGUCAGCAAGGACCUGUCUUUGAGAGAUCGUCACUGCAGCUGUAAUAGAGAGGUAUAUAACGUGUCAGCUAGCACCUGUCUUUGAGAGAUCGUCACUGCACGUGUAAUAGACAGGCAUAUAACGUGUCAGCAAGGACCUGUCUUUGAGAGAUCGUAACUGCAGCUGUACUGCACAGGUAUGUAACGUGUCCAUUAGCACCUGUCUUUGAGAGAUCGUCACUGCAGCUGUAAUAGGCAGGUAUAUAACGUGUCCAUGAGGAACUGUCUUUGAGAGAUCAUCGCUACAGGUGUAAUAGACAGGUAUGUAACGUGUCAGCAUGGGCCUGUCUUUGUGAGAUCGUCACUGCAGGUUUCAUAGACGGGUAUGUAACGUGUCCACAAGGAACUGUCUUUGAGAGAUCAUCGCUACAGGUGUAUUAGACAGGUAUGUAACGUGUCAGCAAGGACCUGUCUUGGAGAGAUCGUCACUGCAGGUGUAAUAGGCAGGUAUGUAACGUGUCAGCAAGGAACUGUCUUUGAGAGAUCAUCGCAGCAGGUGUAAUACACAGGUAUAUAAAGUGUCCAUAAGGACCUGUCUUUGAGAGAUCGUCACUGCAGCUGUAAUAGGCAGGUAUAUAACGUGUCCAUGAGGACCUGUCUUUGAGAGAUCACCGAUACAGGUAUAAUAGACAGGUAUAUAACGUGUCAGCUAACACCUGUCUUUGUGAGAUCGUCACUGCAGGUGUAAUAGACAGGUGUGUAACGUGUCCACAAGGAACUGUCUUUGAGAGAUCAUCGCAGCAGGUGAAAUACACAGGUAUAUAACGUGUCAGCAAGGACCUGUCUUGGAGAGAUCGUCACUGCUGGUGUAAUAGACAGGCAUGUGACGCGUCAGCAAGGACCUGUCUAGGAGAGAUCGUCACUGCAGGUGCCCGGCUGACACAUUUAUUUACUCGACUGUCUCAGACAGCCUUGUCGUCUGAAUGAGUGAGUGUGGUUUGACUCCGCCUAUCACAAUAUUCAGUGAGUGAGUGAGUUUAGUUUGACGCCGUUUUAGCAAUAUUCCAGCAAUAUCACGGCAGGGGGCACCAGAAAUGGGCUUAACACAAUGUGCCCAUGUGGGAAAUCGAACCCGGGACUUCGGCGUGAAGAGUGAACGUCACUAGGCUACCUCACCGCCCCUACAAUGUUCAAGUAAUGCCACGGGGGCGGACACCAGAAAUGGGUUUUACACGUGUUGGUGUGGUGCCGUGUGUUUUGUGGUGUGAGUGUGAGUGUGUGUUUCACGUUAUGACGUAAAUCAGCCUUUGAUCUUGAAGAAUCUUAGAAAUAAUUUUAUACCAAUAUCCAAUUGUCAAUGCAAUAGCUCAGGAAUAAACCACAAUAAGUUAUAGUCA